rnacentral:sRNA from 1 species
UACCUAAAUCCCUGGGAGACAGGUAGU